rnacentral:lncRNA from 1 species
GUCGAUUCCGAAACGUACGGCAACUGGGCGUUGGGCGCGACGUGGGGGCUGUUGCGGCGCUGAGGCAGAUGUGGCUAGGGUUUUCCUCUUUUGUUUUUUUUGUUUUGCUGUAUCGGGUUCGGGUUUGUAUUUGUUUGUUGGUUUGGGCUGUUUUUUUGUUUUGUUUGGACCCAGGCCGAUUGGGCCUUAUUACAGCUGCCCCUCUUUGCUCAUUGUCGUGUAACAGGAAUAGAGCAAAGACUACAAGGCCCAAUUAUGCCUGGUCUUAUUGAGCCUCGACUUCUUCAGUGCUUUUCUUCUUCAAGUAGCCUCAUUCCUUCCUACUGCAUCUUCAGAGGUAUAGGAACUGGUGCUUU